rnacentral:rRNA from 1 species
UACGUAGGGUGCAAGCGUUGUCCGGAAUUAUUGGGCGUAAAGAGCUCGUAGGCGGUUUGUCGCGUCUGCUGUGAAAAACCCGAGGCUCGACCUCGGGCCUGCAGUGGGUACGGGCAGACUAGAGUGCGGUAGGGGAGAUUGGAAUUCCUGGUGUAGCGGUGGAAUGCGCAGAUAUCAGGAGGAACACCGAUGGCGAAGGCAGAUCUCUGGGCCGUAACUGACGCUGAGGAGCGAAAGCAUGGGGAGCGAACAGG